UAAGAACAAUCCCAUAAAUUCCCAAUCACUCCCUCUCUCUCUCUCUCUCUCUCUCCCCGCUUAAGCGCUUCUCCUACUGAAAUCUUUUCCUUUGGCUCUCAAAACCUUCGCUUCUCCGUUAAGAGAACUCUAUAAUUUAUCGUUUUGUCCCCUCCUCCUCUGCUCCGUCAUAUCUCUGUAUCUUCUUGCCUUUUGCUUUUUCUUCCACCUUCUCUGAAGCGAGCUCUGGCACUCUACGGACAUGGAUGGAGGAGGACAGUACAACCCUCGAACAGUAGAGGAGGUUUUCAGGGACUUCAAGGGCCGUAGAGCUGGCAUGAUCAAAGCCCUCACCACUGAUGUUGAAGAAUUUUAUCAGCAGUGCGAUCCUGAGAAGGAGAAUCUUUGCCUUUAUGGGUUUCCUAAUGAACAGUGGGAAGUUAACUUACCUGCUGAAGAAGUACCUCCUGAGCUCCCAGAACCUGCAUUAGGAAUCAACUUUGCCAGAGACGGCAUGCAAGAAAAGGAUUGGCUGUCUCUGGUUGCUGUUCACAGUGAUGCUUGGUUACUUGCAGUGGCAUUCUAUUUUGGUGCGAGAUUUGGUUUUGAUAAAACUGACAGGAAACGCCUCUUUACUAUGAUAAAUGAUCUGCCUACAAUAUUUGAAGUUGUGACUGGAACAACAAAGAAACAGGCGAAGGAGAAGUCAUCAGUUUCAAAUCAUAGCAGCAACAAAUCCAAGUCAGGCUCAAAAGGGCAACAGCGAGGAUCCGAAUUGGUCAAGUUCGCAAAGGGAAUGCUGGCAAAGGAUGAGGAUGACGUAGUGGAUGAGGAAGAUGAAGAAGAUCAUGGGGAGACCUUGUGUGGGGCAUGUGGGGAGAAUUAUGCCGCAGAUGAGUUCUGGAUAUGUUGCGAUAUAUGUGAGAAGUGGUUUCAUGGCAAGUGCGUGAAGAUCACCCCUGCGAGGGCUGAGCACAUCAAGCAGUACAAGUGCCCCUCGUGCAGCAACAAGAGAGCACGCCCUUGAUAUCACAGGGAGAUGCGUGAAACAUGAGGGCUGCUGUGAGUGCAAGUGGCGGUUGCCACGUUUGUUGUCUAGGAUUACUGUGCCAUUGCUCCUUCUGAUCUCUCUAUCUAAGCAUUUUUUCUUUGGGUGCUUAGGAGGUAAUGGGCAUGCAUGCUGGUUCUUCGGAUUUUCUUCACUUCUCUGUUAUCAAGAGGAACUUCGGUUUUUUUUUUUUCCCUGAAGCCUACGGGCUACUGCACUCUCUCUCUCUCUCUCUCUCUUCAAUGAUAGUAGGAAAAUUGCUUAUCCCUAGAAAUUGUACACCUAUUGAAUAUGAAAAGUGUUAGAUCUAUAUAGAAAUCUUACAAAAUCAAAUUUACAAAAUCGUGUAGUUUAAUUUGAUACGUUAGAUUUACUUUAUUAAAAAAAAAAACACGUUACAAGUUAACGGAUCACAUGGAGGCAUGCUUGUUCAUAAGUUUACAUUUGUAGGAUUUAUUUUCUUAUUGAGCAUUGAACCUUGAAAUCUGAACCUCCUGAAAUAAGAGGAGAAAUGCCAAUAGUCUGGACUACAAGUGUGCUGGCCUAAGAUGUUAAAGCUGUCAGGG